rnacentral:sRNA from 1 species
CAGCGACUCGGGGAGA